rnacentral:rRNA from 1 species
GAGUUUGAUCGUGGCUCAGGACGAACGCUGGCGGCGUGCCUAACACAUGCAAGUCGAACGGGACUUGCCCCUUCGGGGACAAGUUUAGUGGCGGACGGGUGAGUAACGCGUGAGCAACCUGCCUUUCAGUGGGGGACAACAGUUGGAAACGACUGCUAAUACCGCAUAAUACUUAUUAGGGGCAUCUCUGAUAAGUCAAAGAUUUAUUGCUGAAAGAUGGGCUCGCGUCUGAUUAGCUAGUUGGUGGGGUAAUGGCCCACCAAGGCGACGAUCAGUAGCCGGACUGAGAGGUUGAACGGCCACAUUGGGACUGAGAUACGGCCCAGACUCCUACGGGAGGCAGCAGUGGGGAAUAUUGGGCAAUGGGGGAAACCCUGACCCAGCAACGCCGCGUGAA